GUCUUUUUCAAGUCACCCAUUCCCUACGUGUUGGAGUCUUCGGGGGGCGCUAAGCUAUCUUCUCCGGUCACCGUACACACUCUCGCUAGAUGCCUCUCACCUUGGGAAGCCUGGUGUAAUCUUCUCAGACGACUUCUACACACUCCAUCAUCUCUACGGUCUCCAUGCAGCCACCACGCUGGGUCCCUGUCCCAGAGAACAGCGGGCCUUUCCAGAAGAAGCGAAGGUUCUCCUCAUGUACCGCUUUUGCAGGAAGAAAUAGAGAAGCCAGAUAUCUUAAUGCCUGACCAGGGGCCGGCCGUGGUCCCCCCGCUCCCCAUCUGCUAGAAAGUUUCCACACCCACUGGGAGUCCAGCCUGCUGGGAACCAGGGUGGACCUUUGAGUGUUUCUGUGGACUAGAAGACCUGAGUUUCCACUGAAUUCGAUUAUUAAUUAGCUGUGCAAUCCAGGGCACGUCACUCUCCUU